UGGGGAAUAUUGCACAAUGGGGGGAACCCUGAACGAGCAAUGCCGCGUGAGUGAGGAAGGUCUUCGGAUCGUAAAGCUCUGUUGUAAGAGAAAAACGGCACUCAUAGGGAAUGAUGAGUGAGUGAUGGUAUCUUACCAGAAAGUCACGGCUAACUACGUGCCAGCAGCCGCGGUAAUACGUAGGUGGCGAGCGUUAUCCGGAAUGAUUGGGCGUAAAGGGUGCGUAGGUGGCAGAUCAAGUCUGGAGUAAAAGGUAUGGGCUCAACCCGUACUGGCUCGGGAAACUGAUCCGCUAGAGAACAGAAGAGGACGGCGGAACUCCAUGUGUAGCGGUAAAAUGCGUAGAUAUAUGGAAGAACACCGGUGGCGAAGGCGGCCGUCUGGUCUGGAUUCUGACACUGAAGCACGAAAACGUGGGGAGCAAAUA
rnacentral:rRNA from 1 species